UACGAAGGGGGCUAGCGUUGUUCGGAAUUACUGGGCGUAAAGCGCGCGUAGGCGGACGUUUAAGUCAGGGGUGAAAUGCCGGGGCUCAACCUCGGAACUGCCUUUGAUACUGGACGUCUGGAGUUCGGGAGAGGUGAGUGGAAUUCCGAGUGUAGAGGUGAAAUUCGUAGAUAUUCGGAGGAACACCAGAAGCGAAGGCGGCUCACUGGCCCGAUACUGACGCUGAGGCGCGAAA
rnacentral:rRNA from 1 species